rnacentral:rRNA from 1 species
UGGGGAAUAUUGCACAAUGGACGGAAGUCUGAUGCAGCAACGCCGCGUGCGGGAUGACGGCCUUCGGGUUGUAAACCGCUUUUUCUCAUGACGAAGUUUUUUGACGGUAGUGGGGGAAGAAGCACCGGCUACCUACGUGCCAGCAGCCGCGGUGAUACGUAGGGUGCGAGCGUUGUCCGGAAUUAUUGGGCGUAAAGAGCUUGUAGGCGGUUUGUCGCGUCGAUAGUGCAAACUCAGUGCUUAACGCUGAGCCUGCUGUUGAUACGGGCAGACUAGAGGAAGGUAGGGGAGAAUGGAAUUCCCGGUGGAGCGGUGGAAUGCGCAGAUAUCGGGAGGAACACCGGUGGCGAAGGCGGUUCUCUGGGCCUUUCCUGACGCUGAGAAGCGAAAGCGUGGGGAGCGAACAGG